AAUAUAAGUAUAACCCAGACACAGCAGGGGAAUUGUCUUCUUCUGCUCAUGGCAGAAGAAGCAGUGACUGUGUGGCCAGAAGCCUGUGGAGCAGGUGACAUGGUGGCCUGAUCACUUUUUCAAGUCUUAGGGACAAUGAGAAUGGUGACUUACCAUGCUUCCAACUGCCAUCCUCGCCAUAGAGCUGCAGUACUGUUCUCACAAAGUCCUUGGCAUUAAAACAAACAAUGGGGCAUUUACACCUAAGUGUCCAAAACAGUAUGUUCCUAGACAAGGGAAAAUUCACCAUUUAGAUAAUAAUUUGGAUCUUGGAAAAAUAUUGUAAUAUCAAAUAACUAGCUAUCCUUAUACAGCAUAUAUAUACCUUAAUUAACUAAAGAAUCCUAUGAGCUCCUGUGCAGAAUAUACACAGUGGACCUGGUCCAAGCCCCUCCAAGUAUCCCACCUCUCAGCAUGCCAGGUCUUUCCUUCUGCAAUCUCACUGUGCCACUUCUACCCAUGCUGCUGGGGAUGGCAUAUGCUCUUGCAUGUCUACUCUUCUCCACUUACAACUUGUGCAGCCUGCUCAAGAGAUGUUCUGGGCAAGCAGCCUAUCCACACACCUUUCAUAGGACCCACAUGUGCUAAACUGCAGAUUCUUCCACCACCUUAUGAGACUCUGAAUGUGGGAUAACAGUUAACAUUUAUCAUAGCAGAUACAAGGCUACUGUUUCACAAGGUUGCCACACUAUAACUUAAUCACAGAGCUAUAAGGUAGGCACUCCAUCCAGUAUACAGAUGAAGGGACUUGGAUUCAGAUAUGUCACACCAAGCAGAUGCCACCUUGACAAAUGUUCUGGGGACAUGGCCCCACUUGCUCAUGUGUAAUUCCAAGGCUCCAAGAACACCCAUGGAAAAUGGAACUGACAACUGUGAAUGGAGAACUGAGAAGCAUGUCUCCUGAACUAGAGUAUGGCAUACCUGCAGUCCAUUUUUGGCUUUUUGCACACACAGACAGUACAUUAUAAGCCAAGCCACGCAGCUCUGAAAUAGUGGCUCAGGUUGUGUCUACUGGCCUGCUUGUACCUGAACCAAAUAAACCACUUCCAGCA